GCCGGGCAAUGGUGGCACAAGCCUUUGAUCCCAGCACUUGGGAGGCAGAGGCAAGUGGAUCUCUGUGAGUUCAAGGC
rnacentral:sRNA from 1 species